GGACAGGUAGCUCAGUUGGUAGAGCGAGGCGCUGAAAACGCCUAGGUCGCCGGUUCGAUUCCGGCCCUGUCCA
rnacentral:tRNA from 1 species